rnacentral:tRNA from 1 species
GCAUCAGUGGUGUAACGGUAACAUUGGAGCUUCCCAUCGCUUGGACCCCCAAAUGGGUUUAAGUGCUCUAGCCUCGGGUUCGACUCCCGGCUGAUGCA